rnacentral:rRNA from 1 species
GACGAACGCUGGCGGCGUGCUUAACACAUGCAAGUCGAACGGAAAGGCCCUGCUUUUGUGGGGUGCUCGAUUGCCGAACGGGUGAGUAACACGUGAGUAACCUGCCCUUGACUUUCGGAUAACUUCAGGAAACUGGGGCUAAUAUCGGAUAGGAUCUCCUGCUGCAUGGUGGGGGUUGGAAAGUUUCGGCGGUGGGGGAUGGACUCGCGGCUUAUCAGCUUGUUGGUGGGGUAGUGGCUUACCAAGGCUUUGACGGGUAGCCGGCCUGAGAGGGUGACCGGCCACAUUGGGACUGAGAUACGGCCCAGACUGCUACGGGAGGCAGCAGUGGGGAGUAUUGCACAAUGGGCGGAAGCGUGAUGCAGAAACGCCGCGUGCGGGAUGACGGCCUUCGGGGUGUAAACCGCUUUCGCCUGUGACGAAGCGUGAGUGACGGUAAUGGGUAAAGAAGCACCGGCUAACUACGUG